UUGGAAUUGACAUUAUUUUAUUAAUAAAUGAAGACACAUAUGCAUCAACUUCAAUGUUAAUAUUUCUCUUCAGAUGAUUUAUACACAGCUGUCUGGAAUGUGAACUGGUACUAGAUGGUAUGUUCAUGUCAGCUAUUAACCUCCCAAGCCAGAAAAAAAUGAGGGGGUUUUCAUUUGUUAUUAGCGACAUCAGCAGAUUUGACUGGGAAAUUAAGACUGAUUGUAAAAUGGAGGGGCAAAGGACGAUGGCUUCCUCUUUCAAGGUUUCCUCCUCACACCAUCUUAUGGAGUUUCUUUUCCCCCCAUCACGGUCACAUUUGGCUUGGUAAAUAUAAAUCUAGAAUUGUAUUUCUGUACAACAUGGCUCUAUAACUUGCUAUUUAACCCUGGUCAGACCAACAAACACCCCCCCCCCCGUCAAGCCACCCCAACUGGGACGCCCACGACAUCCACCUUUUCCCAGGCAAUCCGCUUCCGUCAUUGCUGCCUUGUUCAAAACGGGUCUGAGAAGGUCGAAGGUCAGGGAACAAUGCCUACAGACACAGGAUUUACCAAGAUGGACGACACGCGGCCCGGGGCGCUUUGUGGCGGUAGAGGCCCUCGUCCGCCAGGCAUCUCCAGCUAACAGGUGAUGGAGGAGAAGGACAAAAGAGUUUCACAGUUUUCAGAGCACCAUUAUCCACACAUAACGCCUGUGUUAACAAUCAAUAAUGCACGCUUAAGCCAAGCUGCUCACUGAGGCAUCACACUCUCAGAGGAGCAACUCUUAAAAUAUACACACAAGGCGAUGUUUUUACAUAUAAUAAUAGACAUAUAUGUAAAUAAUGUGUGUACAGUAAUAGGAUAUACAGUGAUAGUUACAGUGACAUAAUCCAGUCAAAUGCAUUUGAAGCCCAGAGCUGCUAAAGGAGACAAAUCAACAGUGACAAUCCAUAUUCAACAGUGCCAAUGCGGAACUAAGACAAGAUCCGGCUCUUAUGGAUAGUCACAUGACUAAUAGUGUUUAAACAAUAAUAUGCAAAACCUAUACAUGGGAAACUGAGCCAGUAAUUGAGGAUAGAUAACAGAAAACUACAAAAACCGCCUUUAACCUUGUUUUUAAAUUACGACAGUCAUUUCUAUAAGUUAGUGUUAUUGCAUAUGAACACUAACUGUAACAUUAGUUAAGGGUUGUGGAAAAAAUGAAAAGUAUCAUAAAGGUCGAACAUUACAAAGCAUCGGUGGAAUGAUAAUAUAACCUGUUAUACGUGUAGUGACAGAUGUAACCAGACAGGAUUACUGUUAAACCUUACUAUCUGCUUAAUUAGCCCAAUUAAAGAAGAUUUUAAAAAGAUUUUUUUUUUUUCAUUCUUAUCAGAAAUAAGAAGUAGGAAUUUCCAUCAUCCAGUUUUGUUUGGAACGCUGCAAAAGCCCCAAUCAAUUGCCCAAACUAUGGGUUUUUUUUUUUUUUUUUUUUAAAGAAAACAAGAACAAAUCUAGAUCCCUAACACAUUGUUUCUGUAUGAGAGCAGUUCCAAGUAGAUUUUAUUACAAAGGAAAGCACCCUAGACUAUCUGAAGAAUGCUUGAGGAGCUCCACAACUGGUCAAAACUGUGUUAUUCAUGGUGAUGAAUAUUCAAUGGGCCAUUAAAGCAUUAAAUAAUCACGGCUCCAGCAUAAUCAGGACAUUAUUAUCCAUUUUUUAAGCAAAAGUAGUGAGGUGAGAUACAGUCAGGUGAGAUAUCACAGUUAAACAUAAAUCUGAUGCUAUAGUGGACACCCGCUCACCAAAACCAGACUGUUGAGGACUAGAAAAAGACCAGGUGAUGUCUGUCCAAUCUUCAAACUACACAGGUUCUGUGAGUUUCCUGUUCUUGGCUGACAGGAGUGAAAUCUGAUGUGGUCUUCUGCAGAUUUUGUCUAAUCCACCUCAUAGUUUGAUGUGUUCUGCAUUUUGCUCACCAAGCAAAAUGAGUGCUUAUUUGAGUGUCUGCUGGCGUCCUGUCAACUCAAACCAGUCUGGCCAUUCUCUUCUCAGCUCUCUUAUCAACAAAACCUGCUGAACCACCCCUCACUGGAUGUUUUUGUUUUUUUGCACUAUUCCAUAUAAACUCAGAGAUUGCUUCACUGCGUGAAAUUCCCAGAUCAGCACUUUCUGAAAUACUCAAACCGGCCCAUCUGGCACCAACAACCACUCCAUUUUAAAGGUCACAGAGCUCGCAAUUUUUGAGGAGGAAACCCAAUUUUGAUAUUUAUCAAAAUGACCUGAAGCUCUUGACCUAUAUCUGCAAGAUUUUACGCAUUGCACUGCUGCCGUAUGAUCGGCCGAUUAUAUAACGUGCAGGUGUUCCUAUUAAAGUGGCCGUUACAGACCAAGACAGCCAGGGUGAGCACAGUAGUAUCACAUAAACAUGCUUUAAGCGCUAGCUGUUUUUGAUGUUUCACUAUAACGAGUGUCAGAAACAAGGAUGUGUCUGUGUGGGUGUUUACUGCUCAUAUUGUUAAAGAUCAAAGCGGCAUCCCAAGAGGAAGUCCAUAAUCAUGCUUUCAUUGUUUCACUGUUUGCUUUAAGACAUGUUUGCGUAUAAAUAGUAUUUUCAACCAUCAGUCCGGCAGAACGCAGAACAGCAUUAAAGAUAAAUAACAGAAGAGAACAGAAAGGAAACAUAAAAUGUACGAGAUCACAAGAGACAACAAGGAAACAUGAACAAAUCGUUAAUAAAUCGUAUCUCGUACGGAAAGUUUGGAAGGUUAAGUUCGGGGUUACGGGUAAAGUUCGGAAUAAUGGGAAAAAUUUGGAACUUAGGAAAUCUGGAAAUUGUCCAAAAUUUGAUAUUUUCUAUGAUGCACCAAAUAAGUAAAAAUACUGAAAGAAACAUCGUGAUUGCACUCGUUCAUGUCAAAAGGUGCUAAACGGAUAGUUUAAGGACGCAAGCAUUUGUCAAUGGCGUGGCACUUAAAACAUACCCCGGCUGUCGAAAGUUUUUGAACACAUUUCUCACAAUUGCUUAGUUUAGCCGCUGAAUUAUACGCCAUCAAAUCACAAAUUCCUUUGUAUUUAUGGACGUCUUCAUUGUCCACUCUCCCGAUUAUAGAGUGCACUUGUUUGGUAAAGCAGUUGCUGUAAUUCGUCUUCGACAGGGUAGAUGUCAUGUGCUACAACUUCCUAAAUCAAGGGAUCCAGAUCAGCACUUUCCCUGUCUACAAUUUUUUUUUUCCCCUCAAUAAAACACAAACAUUUUACAAAAUUUCAAGAUUUUGAAUCCAUUUCUUGAAGUUCAACAAAAAUGUUCAAAAACCUUUGACUGGUGGUGUAUCAGUGUACCUUUAGUUAAAUAAACAUUAUCAUUAUGCAAAAAAAAGUCCUCCAUCAAUGUUCAAACUGUCUUUAAUAUAUUUAGCGAAUGAAAUUUUAUAUUAGUUGGACUUUUCGACAUGCUUGAAAUCCAGAAACGCCCAGUUAAGUGUGUGUGUGUGUGUGUGUGUGUUAUCCAACUUCUAAGAGGGUUUAAAUGAAGUCCUCCGUGGCCUCUUGUUCUUUUGUUCCUUUUGUGCGGAAAGAAGAAGCCGUGGCCUCCUCAAUGGAGCUCAAAUCCCAUCAGCCACGCUCCCCACCAGGCCACCGAGUCAAUCAGAGCCCGCUCACUCACACUCGGUCCGUAAUUAAAGGGAUAGUUUCAGCAAGUACGCCAGCCUAACGAUGAAUGAUAGUCAAGAAUGAAGGCAAACUGGGAAUCCCGCUGAUAUUUUAGUGCUGGUAUUCGGUGCAUUUAGGAUCAUGGAGGAAAUGUCAGGAAGCCAUUAUUCUGGCGAGUUCCAGAGUAGCAGUAUGAAAUUCACUGUAAAAUUUCCACAUCAUCCACAGCUUUAACUAUCGGGUUACAACUUGUACAUUUCCAGAUUGGUGGUAAACGCCUUAGUACACGACAACAGCAAUGACAGUAUACAAGUACUGAAAAACUGCUCAGAUAUUCUAGGAAAAUACACCGAUUACUUUCCUACAACAGAAUGCCCUGAAGUGCUUCGUUCCUCUUCUACCACAACACAAGUUACACAUCUUUCUUUUUUUUUAAAGAACGGAAUGGCGUAUUUUUCAUACACUUUAUAAUUAGAUUUAAUGUCGAGGAAAAUCUUUGAAAUUAGUUAUCACUUAAACGGUCUUUCUCUCACCAGACUCUUCCCCAUUAUUGUUGUCGUAUUGUUGUUAGGACCGUCAUUCGGAUCACAUCUCGGAAAAUCACUUCAUAACCUACACCGUAAACAAAUCCUGUAGCUUUUAAAGUUCAUUCCUGGCAAGCUACAAAUCGAAAACUUAAACCAAUUAAACAUAGCAGAUUUUCCCUUUUGCAAUUCAACAUGAAAUAUUCGAAAACCUAAAUGAAAAUAAACAGCUUAAAAUCUCUAUCGAUAUGCCUUUUCAUACGAAUUUGUCUUUUAAACCCAUAAACCUUCAGCCUUCCUAUUUAGAACACUAUAUUUACUAAUCUAAUCCGAGGACCAAAAAAAUAGCCAAUGAAACUGUGAAGCCGACAUCCCUACUGACGAAAUAAACAUUUAUAAACUACCAAGAACCCUCAGUUGAACUAAAGUGAACAACCUUUAUUAUAAUAUAAAUAUAA
ensembl:lncRNA